AUUGAACGCUGGCGGCAGGCCUAACACAUGCAAGUCGAGCGGUAGCACAGAGAGCUUGCUCUCGGGUGACGAGCGGCGGACGGGUGAGUAAUGUCUGGGAAACUGCCUGAUGGAGGGGGAUAACUACUGGAAACGGUAGCUAAUACCGCAUAAUGUCGCAAGACCAAAGUGGGGGACCUUCGGGCCUCAUGCCAUCAGAUGUGCCCAGAUGGGAUUAGCUAGUAGGUGGGGUAACGGCUCACCUAGGCGACGAUCCCUAGCUGGUCUGAGCGGAUGACCAGCCACACUGGAACUGAGACACGGUCCAGACUCAUACGGGAGGCAGCAGUGGGGAAUAUUGCACAAUGGGCGCAAGCCUGAUGCAGCCAUGCCGCGUGUAUGAAGAAGGCCUUCGGGUUGUAAAGUACUUUCAGCGGGGAGGAAGGCGAUAAGGUUAAUAACCUUGUCGAUUGACGUUACCCGCAGAAGAAGCACCGGCUAACUCCGUGCCAGCCGCCGCGGUAA
rnacentral:rRNA from 1 species